rnacentral:rRNA from 1 species
UACGGGGGGGGCAAGCGUUGUUCGGAAUUACUGGGCGUAAAGGGCUCGUAGGCGGCCAACUAAGUCAGACGUGAAAUCCCUCGGCUUAACCGGGGGAACUGCGUCUGAUACUGGAUGGCUUGAGGUUGGGAGAGGGAUGCGGAAUUGCCAGGUGUAGCGGUGAAAUGGCGGUAGAUAUCUGGAGGAACACCGGUGGCGAAGGCGGCAUC